rnacentral:lncRNA from 1 species
GCCAUAGUAACUUUAGAUUGUUCCAUGAUUUGCUAAGAGAAUAUAUUUGGUUCCACCUGAGUGCCAAAAAUGUUUAAGGCUUGAGAACUUAAAAUUUGUUGAAAUAUUUGUUUUGUAUUAUGAGAAAUGUCCCGGUAAACAGGUGUGAAUAGAAUAUUCCAAUCCACCCAUCUCAUUUCUCAUGGGAUGAUCAUCCAAUACUUGUGUAAAAGUGGGAAUUCUAACAGU